rnacentral:rRNA from 1 species
UGGGGAAUAUUGGACAAUGGGCGAAAGCCUGAUCCAGCGACGCCGCGUGGGUGAAGAAGGCCUUCGGGUUGUAAAGCCCUUUAAGCCGGGACGAAAAAAUCGGCGAUAACAUCGCCGGUCUUGACGGUACCGGAAGAAUAAGCACCGGCUAACUCUGUGCCAGCAGCCGCGGUAAUACAGAGGGUGCAAGCGUUAAUCGGAUUUACUGGGCGUAAAGCGUGUGUAGGUGGCUUUAUAAGUCGGUUGUGAAAUCCCUGGGCUCAACCUGGGAAUUGCAGCCGAUACUGUAGAGCUCGAGUUCGGUAGAGGACGGCGGAAUUCUCGGUGUAGCGGUGAAAUGCGUAGAUAUCGAGAGGAACAUCGAUGGCGAAGGCAACCGUCUGGGCCUGAACUGACACUGUGACACGAAAGCGUGGGUAGCAAACAGG